GGGUCGUUAGCUCAGUUGGUAGAGCAGUUGGCUUUUAACCAAUUUGUCGAAGGUUCAAAUCCUUCACGACCCACCA
rnacentral:tRNA from 8 species